rnacentral:rRNA from 1 species
AUGCAUAAUUCCAGUACCGCCGAGGCCGAGAGGUCCAACCCUCCUUUUCGGAAAAACAAUUGCAUACUUCCAGUACUGAUGGGUUUGGAGAUCAUGCAUCGAUCUGAAAGUGGCAACUUUGCUUGUAGAGAUUUUUCACGUCAAAAAAUUACGAAAAAACUACAGCCCGCUUUUUCUGCUAAUCUUGUGCCGGAGAAUAUUAAGAUACGCACACUAUCUUGUGGACACAUGGAUGCACACAUGUACUCAUCACUCACAAACAUGCGCUUUUACUACACUUGGCCCAAGGAACUAGCCAAAAGAUUGAUAAGCCACCACAGAUCCGCCUCACUAAUUUUUCUUCCUUGA